AUGUCACCGCUCUCUGUGAUGUCACUGCUCUCCGUGACGUCACCAGGGGCGCCCUCCCCGGGGAGGUCAGCAGUGACAUCAGCGCUGAUGUCAUCACUGGAGGCGUCCUCCUCCUCCGCAGGGGGGGCUGUUACCAGGAUGGUGAUGCCACCGGCGGCGCAGGUGUCCCCAAGGUCCCCAAGGUCCCCCAGGGGGGUGACAUCUCCCUCCUUGUCCCCAGUGUCCCUUGGGGCUGUGACGUCCCUGUCCCCAAUGUCCUCGAUCAGAUGGGAUGGGACAUCCCUGUCCCCAAUGUCCCCCGGGACCGUGACGUCCCUGUCCCAAACGUCCUCAUCCUCAAGGUCCUCGUCCCCAAAGUCCUUACUGCCAAUGUCCCCAGUGUCCCUUAGGACAGUGACAUCCCUGUCCCCAACAUCCUCGACCAGAUGGGAUGGGACAUCCCUGUCCCCAAUGUCCCUUAGGGCUGUGACAUCCCUGACCCCAAUGUCCUUGACCAGAUGGGAUGGGACAUCCCUGUCCCCAGUGUCCCCUGGGACCGUGACAUCCUUCUCCCCAACGUCCUUCACCAGAUGGGGUGGGACAUCCCUGUCCCUGGUGUCCCUUAGGGCUGGGACAUCCCUGUCCCCAACGUCCUUGUCCUCAUCCCCAGACACUGCCAUGUCCCCAGUGUCCCCUGGGACCGUGACAUCCCUGUCCCCAACAUCCUUUAGAGUGGUGACAUCCUUGUCCCCAGGAACUGGGACAUCCCUGUCCCCCACGUCCUUGUCCUCAGAAACUGGGAUGUCCCCAGCGUCCCUUAAGACUGCGCCAUCUGUGUCCCCAAUGUCCCUCAGGGCUGGGACAUCCCCAAUGUCCUUGUCCCCAGUGUCUCCAGGGGCUGGGACAUCCCUGUCCCCAAGGUCCUUGUCCCCAUCAUCUCUUGGGAUGGUGACAUCCCUGUCCCUGGUGUCCCCAACAUCUCUUAGAGCUGAGAACUGCAUGUCCCAAAUAUCCUUGUCCCCGAUGUCCCUUAGGAUUGAGACCUUCAUGUCCCCAAUGUCCUUGUCCCCAAGGUCCCCUGGGGCUGUGACAGUCUCAUCCCCGGUGUCCCUUGGAGCUGGGACAUCCCUGUCCCCAGUGUCCCUUAGGAUGAGGACCUGCAUGUGCCCAAUCUCCUUGUCCCUCAGGGUGGUGACAUCCCUGUCCUUAAUGUCCCUUAAGGUCGUGACAUCUCUGAACCCAACAUCCUUGUCCCAAGUUGCUGGGACAUCCGUCUCCCCAAUGUCCUUGACCAGAUGGGCUGGGACAUCCUUGUCCCCAGUGUCCCUCAGGGUGGUGACAUCCCUGUCCCCAGGAGCUGGGACAUCUCUGUCCCCAAUGUCCCUCAGGGUGGUGACAUCCCUGUCCCCAGGAGCUGGGACAUCCCUGUCCCCAAUGCCCCUUAGAGUGAUGACAUCUCUGUCCCCAACGUCCUUGUCUCCAAGAGCUGGGACAUCCUUGUCCCAAAUGUCCCUCAAGGUGGUGACAUCCCUGUCCCCAGUGGCUUUGUCCCCAGGAGCUGGGACAUCCCUGUCCCCAAUUUCUCUUAGAGCGAUGACAUCUCUGUCCCCAUAAUCCCCGUCCCCAAGAGCUGGGACAUCCAUGUCCCCAAGGGCUUUGUCCCCAGGAGGUAGAACAUCCCUGUCCCCAGUGUCCUUUAAGGUGGUGGCAUCCUUGUCCCUAAUGUCCCUCAGAGUGGCGACGUCCCUGUCCUCAAGAGCUGGGACAUCCCUGUCCCCAAUGUCCCUCAGGGUGAUGGCAUCUCUGUCCCCAAGGGCUUUGUCCCCAGGAGCUGGGGCUUCCCUGUCCCAAAUGUCCUUCAAGGUGAUGGCAUCUCUGUCCCCAAUGGCUCUGUCCCCAGGAGGUAGAACAUCCCUGUCCCCAAUGUCCCUUAAGGUGGUGGCAUCCUUGUCCCUAAUGUCCCUCAGAGUGGUGACAUCUCUGUCCUCAAGAGCUGGGACAUCCCUGUCCCCAGUGUCCCUCAGGGUGGUGACAUCCCUGUCCCCAAUGGCUUUGUCCCCAGGAGCUGGGACAUCCUUGUCCCCAAUGUCUCUUAGAGUGGUGACAUCUCUGUCCCCAACGUCCUUGUCCCCAGGAGCUGGGACAUCCUUGUCCCCAGUGUCCUUGUCCAGCAGGGCUGGCCCAUCCUGGUCCCCAAUGUCCUUUGGGGUGACAACGUCCCUGUCCCCAAUGUCCCUCAGAGCUGUGACAUCCUUGUCCCCGACAUCCCUGUCCCCAGAGGGUGCCACGUCCUUGUCCCCAAGGUCCUUUGGGGUGGCGACAUCCCUCUUCUCAGUGUCCUUGUCAUUGUCCCUGUGCCCCGUGUCACUCGUGACCGAGACGUCCCCAGCGUCCUUGUCCCCGAAGCUGGGGACGUCCUCGUCCCCAGAGUCCUCAGUGUCUUCCUCGGCGGGGGCGGCCGUGACGGUGAUGGUGAUGCCGCUGGCCCAGGGGGUGACGGUGACAGUGUCCCCGGGGACACCGCUGUCACCCUCCCCCUCGGGGACCCCUCCGGGCUGUCCCCACGACGGUUCGGGGUCCGCGGUGACAUUCCCGGGGGUGGCCGUCACCUCCC
rnacentral:lncRNA from 1 species